UGGGGAAUAUUGCACAAUGGGCGCAAGCCUGAUGCAGCCAUGCCGCGUGUAUGAAGAAGGCCUUCGGGUUGUAAAGUACUUUCAGCGGGGAGGAAGGGAGUAAAGUUAAUACCUUUACUCAUUGACGUUACCCGCAGAAGAAGCACCGGCUAACUCCGUGCCAGCAGCCGCGGUAAUACGGAGGGUGCAAGCAUUAAUCGGAAUUACUGGGCGUAAAGCGCACGCAGGCGGUUGAUUGAGUCAGAUGUGAAAUCCCCGGGCUUAACCCGGGAAUUGCAUCUGAUACUGGUCAGCUAGAGUCUUGUAGAGGGGGGUAGAAUUCCAUGUGUAGCGGUGAAAUGCGUAGAGAUGUGGAGGAAUACCGGUGGCGAAGGCGGCCCCCUGGACAAAGACUGACGCUCAGGUGCGAAAGCGUGGGGAGCAAACAGG
rnacentral:rRNA from 1 species